GCCCAAGAGGGAGCAUGGCUAUGCUGUAUACCUGAUUCGGAGAUCAAAACGCUGAAUCAAGGCUGGAGCAAGUACAAGCCACUAUAAUCUCCCAUUAACCUACGACCGCCUUCAAUUCGUAACAAUACCUUCAGCAAUGGUCAAGGCUAUUACAUUAGACAAUUCUCUUCAAAUU
rnacentral:lncRNA from 1 species